rnacentral:rRNA from 1 species
UACGGAGGGGGUUAGCGUUGUUCGGAAUGACUGGGCGUAAAGCGCGCGUAGGCGGCUCGGAAAGUCGGGGGUGAAAUCCCGGGGCUCAACCCCGGAAUGGCCUUCGAAACUCCCGGUCUUGAGUUCGAGAGAGGUGAGUGGAAUUCCGAGUGUAGAGGUGAAAUUCGUAGAUAUUCGGAGGAACACCAGUGGCGAAGGCGGCUCACUGGCUCGACACUGACGCUGAGGUGCGAAAGCAUGGGGAGCAAACAGG